AUCAAGCACUUACCAGUUUUCCAUUUAUGCCUCAGUAAUUCCAGCCCAAAGUGAGAGAAUACAGGCUCAGUGCUCUGCACUUAUGGGUAUCUAUAGCAAGUUACAUAAAAUGAUGCUUUAUGACUGUGACAGUCAGUGACUCAAGAAGAGGCACAAUAUUUUCAAAAAUUUCAGGUAUGUUAAGGAAGGGAACGGAAGGAAAGAGCAACAAAAUGUGAUCUUCUUAUCCCUUCCAGUGUCUGGAGUUCAAGAUAAAAGUCAGUAAAAAAAAAAAAAAACAAAGGAGUGCAGUUACUGCAGUAUAUCAGAGAUGGUGUACAGAGAAAACUGCAAUAAGUGCAAACGCUUCAAAAUCAUGACAAUACGCGAACCAGAAAAUUAAAAUUAAAUAUCACAUUAUGUUACCUUAAAAAUUCUAACAAUCAAUAAUUUAUAAGUAACGUAAGGCUACUCAGCUGCCAACUGCCAUCACACCAUACAUGCAAAUAAUGAACACAAGGGGAUAGUUAAAUUAUAGUUCAAUCAUACAAGCAUUACAACAGGAAUUGACACAUGACUCUAAACACAGGAACAGUGGAGUUAUUUCUCAGUCAUACAUUUCAAAAUGACUUGCAGAAUUCAGAGCUGGGCAUAGUUUAAUGAUACAGUUUGCUCACAAAGAGAUGAACGAGGACUACCCACUUCUGAAUUGGCAGAAAUCGGUUGAGUUUGGCCCGCUCAUGUUUCGUGUCCAGCCACAGCAAUCUAAUACAGAACCUUGCAAAGUGAUUGUUGUGCUGUGUUGUAUUACAUACAAAUUAAUAGAUUUUUUAAUGAGUGAUUAGUGGUUCCUGGCCCAUCAUGAGCAGCACCAGAUACUCUUUCCACUCCUCUGAAAAGGGGAAGGGACAGAAGAGCAAAAAUAAAGAGCUUCUGUCCAACCGCUUGGAGCAUAAACUGACACAUGAGCAGAAGUGUAGUGUUAGCACUUUGAAAUGUAAGUGCAGCUUGUUCCCGCCAACCAACCCCUCUCCCUUGUCAGCCAAUUGCUGGGAGUUGGUGGGUGGGGCUUGCUUCCCAUGACCCCUCUCUCACCACCCCUCCCCCUCAUAAUUCAUUCAUCUCCUUGUGAACACACUAUACACUUCAAUCCAAAUGGCUCCAUGUUGCAUAAUAAAAACACAACAUGUGAAAGGUUACAGAUAAGAGCAGUAUUAUAGGUGCUGUACCCCUUGACAUCCAGAUUUCUUCUGACCUUGAAACUUUAAUAUUUAAUAUAAUUACGUGCUCAAAAAUAUUCAGAGGAAUAUGCAACUGAAAAGAUUACUUUUCUCAGAUAUAGCCCAUUAUUAUGGAAUCAACAUCAGAAAUUCAACACACCUCUGGUGUGUUUGCAGAACCACUUUUAUUUAGUUUUUCAACACUGUUUGCAAAUGAUGAAACUACAGAUGGCAUUACAAAUGAUGGCAGUCGAGUUUAGGCUAUUUCUGCACAUCUCAUUCAUGUAUUCUCCAACAGCCAAUGAACAUACAGCGUUGUUCUGAGCACUCUGCUGUGAAUGUCUAAGCAAUGCAAGCAUCAAAUGUUAUCGUAGUGUAUUGUUUAGUGAAUUUUUAUUCCAUUUGUUGCGAGCUGUCAUUGCAGAUGUUGGCGACAAGUGAGAAAGUCUGCAUAAGUGAGAAAGUCUGCAUAAGUGAGAAAGUCUGCAUAAGUGAGAAAGUCUGCAUAAGUGAGAAAGUCUGCAUAAGUGAGAAAGUCUGCAUAAGUGAGAAAGUCUGCAUAAGUGAGAAAGUCUGCAUAAGUGAGAAAGUCUGCAUAAGUGAGAAAGUCUGCAUAAGUGAGAAAGUCUGCAUGAGCAAGUGAGAGACGUAAUUUGCAAGAUUCAUGCUUUCUUCAAGUACAAAGCACGUGUAUGCGAGUACUGCAAAUGCUAUUUGGAACUGACAACACUGGAAUACUCAUCUGUGCCUUGACCUAUGUGAACCGCCAUCAUUCAUGAAACAAGGUUAUAAUUAAGAAGUGGUCACUUACGGAAACUGUUGUGAUACUCAGAAUUAUUUGUGAAAAAUUAGUUCUUGGAGCACUAACUGGCAAUUCAUUCUUAAUAUUACUGGAAGGUAAUAAAAUAUUUCUUCAUUGCUUAUGCAGGGCAUCAAAGUUGAGCCACAAUUCUUCAAAUUUAUGUGCAUGACGAUUGAAAAACCCUGGCCAUGUGAACCCAGCAGUAGAGAAGUAGUUAAAAGGAUUGUUUCAUUUGGUGUGUACUAAGGAGAAGAAGCUUUUGUAUGUACGAAGCUUUAAAGAAAAUUGAGAAGCCUCUACU